CUAGACUAUAACCAAAAAAAUUGAAUUUUUUUCAAUAAUAAUAAUGAUAAUAUUUCAUACUUUCAUUUGAUUUAUAUUGAUUAUUUAUUAUUUAUUUUAUAUUUAUUUAAAGUUGUUUUUUGAUGUGGUAUAUUUCAUCUCAAACAACAUAAAUUUCUCAAAUAAUUGAGACAAGUAUUUUUCAAUGAAAUAUUCAAAUGUCUUGCACAAAAAACAAAUAGAGUAUUUGCUAUCAAAUUUGAAUGAUCAAUAAGUGAUUGAAUUCAAAUUAAGGUAGAAUCUGAUUCUACAAACCGCCAGUUUGUAUAAACUAAUAUUGAACUGUUUGAUCAAAUCAUCGAAAUGUAAUGCUCGAUAAUAAAAAAUGUUAACUUUAUUUAAAGGGGAAUAUUGAAAUUUAAUUUAAUCAUCUAUUAAAUUUGGUGCUCUAAAGUUACACAAGACAAUUUCUGAUUUUUAAUUUAACCUAAAAAUGUUUUUAGGAGUACUGAAUAGGAUUUGGUUACCUGCUGAAUGAUAAAGUGCUAGGCAUAUGGAUGGGUGGUAGAAGGGCCCCUUUACUCUGGUUUCUGGAAUCACUGUUGCGACUAAAUCACAACAAAUAUAACAAAACGUCACAAACAUAUCACAAAACAUUAAUUACAAUUAUUAUUACUGACAAUUUCAAUCAAAUAAUGUGCAAACACAUGGAAGCACAUAUGGUUAUAUUUUUCAACAAAAAAGAUCAAAACAUUGAAUGAAUAAUGAUUGAGAAAAUAAAAUUAUCGGAAUUUUGUCAUUAUUGUUGCCUAAAAAUUGAUACAUUUUUAUACUUCUAGUGAAAAAACAUUGAGAUUAUUAAUUAACUUAAAGAGCCAUGUAAGCAGAAAAGAAGGAAUUAUGUUUGCACGAUUUUGUAGGUAUUGUUAUAAACACAUAUUGAUUCUUACAAAGUGCAACAGAAAAAAGAACUCAGACUAUCAAGAAUAAUGAAAUCAAAUUACCUAAGAAAGGAUCCUCUAAGAGUUGACUUGCUGUUGCCCGUUUAUCAGGGUUUGGUUCGAAACAUCUGAGAAUGAAAUUUCUUGCAACCUCUGACAGCUCUUUUGGAACUUCAGGAUGAAUUUUAUAAUAUCCUACUUUGAACACAGCAGCUUGAGGCGAACCCAAUUCAUUGAACGGUGGCUUACCAGUAGCCAUUUCAACCACAGUGCAUCCCAAAGACCAAAUAUCUGCUGGAGCACCAUAACCUCGCUGCCCUUUGUCGAUUACCUCUGGGGCCAUAUACUGAAGAGUACCUAGUAAAUAAUAGCACUAUACCAAAUUUCUGCUGUUGAAGAAA